GAGUCUUGAGAGCAUAGCAAAUUAGGGUCUCUUUCAGCGGGAAUAAUGCUCAUAAUCUUAACUUCUCUCUGGCUAUAAAUGACUCUUUGGUUGUUCAUGAUCGUUAGAAUUAAGUUAUCUCUUCUUUUGUUUCCUUUAUUCUUCUCUCGGCUCUCUCUGAGCUUCUUGUCCUACCUAACAUCUCUCAAGUCUCACUGCUAUAUUUUUUAUGGAGAGUAAACAGUUGAACGGAGUUUCCAAACUUCUUAUCCAAGACGAGGAAUAUGAUCUUGAUCGCCUAAAGAAUAGAUGGAGUACUCCAGUGUGUUUAAAGAAGAGAUUGGGGCUGGAUGGGAUGGGAGGUGUAGGAAUGGAGCAAAAGCUGGAUCCCCUAAUUGGUGGGCAGCAACAGAUAGAGCUCAUGACCUUAAUUCUUUGCAGGCGGAGGAAAAAUAACCCUUGCCUUAUUGGAGAACCUGGAUUUGGGAAGACAGCAAUUGUUGAGGGAUUUGCUCAGCAUAUUGUCAAUGGUGAUGUCCCAGAACCAUUAAAGGGGCAAAAGGUGAUUUCCUUGGAUAUGGGACGCCUUGUGCCUGGUACAAAAUUUCGAGGGAAGUUUGAGAAAAGGUUAACCAAGCUGAUGGAUGAAGUCAAACAGAGCAAUGGUGAGGUACUACUUUUCAUUGACGAGGUGCAUAUGUUAAUGAUAACAGGAGCUGCAAACAUCUUGAAACCAGCCCUUGCUCGAGGAGACCUACAGUGCAGUGGUGCUACAACACAGGAUGAAUACAAGGAGUACAUUCAGAAAGACCGAGCACUAGAAAGGCGAUUUCAGCCAGUAAAGGUUCCUGAACCAUCCAUUAGUGAGGCAAUACAGAUUCUGAAGCAGAUUUCUCCACGUUAUGAGAUUUUUCACAAGCUCAAUUAUACACAUGAAGCUCUAGUCGCUGCUGUAGAGUUGUCAAAACAGCUUAUCAGUGACCGGUAUCUCCCUGACAAAGCCAUUGACUUGAUAGAUGAAGCUGGUGCUUUUGUUCGAAUUUGUCAACGUCAGCUUCCUGAGGAAACCAAUGAGCUUUACAAAGAUCUUCGAAAGAUCACAGAGGAAAAAACUGAGGCAAUCCGUAGCCAAAACUAUUCAAAGGUACAAAGCUUAAAAGUUCAUGAAAAAAAGAUCAAACUAAAGAUCUCAGAGAUCAAGGACAAAACUGGAAAGGGAAUCAAUGCAAACGGUUCUAACCUGGUAGUUACGGAAGUCGACAUACAGCAUAUUGUUUCUUCUUGGACUGGAAUACCUGUCAAGAAGGUUUCCACCAGUGAAUCCAGAUACCUUCUCAAGAUGGAGGAGUCUAUUUGCAAACAUGUCAUCGGUCAAGAAGCUGCCAUGAAGGCCAUUUGUCGGGCUAUCCGUCGUGCCCGCGUUGGCAUUAGGGAUCCUGCCCGACCAAUUGUCAGCCUCCUAUUUGCUGGUUCAACUGGUGUAGGAAAAACACAAUUGGUAAAAGUGUUGGCGACUGAGUACUUUGGUUCCAAGGAAGCCAUGGUCAGGUUUGACAUGAGUGAAUUCAUGGAGAUGCACUCGGUAUCAAAGCUAAUUGGUGCGCCCCCAGGCUAUGUUGGCUACCAAGAGGGUGGAAAACUUACUGAGACUGUUCAUCGCCGUCCUUUUACUGUUGUCCUAUUUGAUGAAAUAGAGAAGGCGCAUCGUGAUGUGUUCAAUAUCAUGCUUCAAAUCUUGGAAGAUGGCAGGCUUACAGAUAGCAAGGGGAAAACAGUUGAUUUCUGUAAUACAGUUAUCAUAAUGACAUCUAAUAUUGGGACUUCUGCUGUUGUAAACGGUGAGCAGCAAAUCAGUACAAGCCAGGUAAAUGCCAAAGUUGUGGAGGAACUUAAAAAAUGUUUCAGGUUGGAGUUUUUAAACAGGUUGGAUGAUGUUAUCGUAUUUUAACGGUUGACAAAGGAAGUGGUGAGGAAGAUUGCAGAAAUAAUGCUUAACGAGGUGAUUGCAAGGCUUAAGAAGAAGGUUAUUUAUCUCAAGGUGACAGACACCUUCAUUGACCAGCUAGGACACUGAGAAGGGCCAUAGUGAGGCUUCUGGAAGACACCUUAGCUGACAAGAUACUGGCAGAGGAGAUCAAAGAAGGAGAUUCAGUAACUGUUGACAUUGAUAGUGAUGGUGAAGUAACUGUGCACAAGGAUACCCGAGUUCCCAUUCUUCUUCAGAAUACAAACCAAUGGAUUUGCAAAAAUUGUUUUGUACAAAAUGCAUUGCAUAUCCAAAAAUUCUUAUGGCAGCUCCAAAGUCCCAACAAAAUUAUGUAAUUAUUGAGACAAGUUUUACUUAUUUGUAGGGAUAGUUUAAUUUUGCUAGGUGGGUUUGGUACUGAAACUAUAAAUUACUGAAGGAGAAAUAUUGACCAGGCGAGUCAUGGUAAAAUAUUUCUUUAUUAAUUUUUUAAUGCAUAAGAAACAUAUGACAUGUAAACCAUACUGAGAGAGAUGCUGGAGAAGAGGUGGUUGGAGCUGAAACUUCAAUGGGAUUAUUUGUUGUUGUUUUGCUAGAACUGCAUUGGUGUAGCUGUUGGUAUACUCAUGAAAUAGACGUUGCAUUCUCAUGU